rnacentral:rRNA from 1 species
UACGGAGUGUGCGAGCGUUGUCCGGAAUCACUGGGCGUAAAGGGCGCGUAGGCGGCUCGGUAAGUAGGGGGUGAAAUCCUGCGGCUUAACCGCAGGGCUGCCUUCUAAACUGUCGAGCUCGAGCACGGUAGAGGCAGAUGGAAUUCCCGGUGUAGCGGUGGAAUGCGUAGAGAUCGGGAAGAACAUCAGUGGCGAAGGCGGUCUGCUGGGCCGUUGCUGACGCUGAGGCGCGACAGCGUGGGGAGCAAACAGG